rnacentral:tRNA from 1 species
GGGGCUGUAGCUCAAAUGGUAGAGCGCUCGCUUUGCAUGAUAGAGGUACAGGGUUCGAUUCUCCGCAAUUCCA